AUUGAACGCUAGCGGGAUGCCUUACACAUGCAAGUCGAACGGAGUGGCGAAAGGGUGAGUAAUGGAUAGGAACGUGCCCAGUAGCGGGGGAUAACUACGCGAAAGCGUAGCUAAUACCGCAUACUCUUGGAGAGGCCGGUAUCGAGGUAGCUAGUUGGUGGGGUAAGGGCUCACCAAGGCGACGAGCCGUAGCUGGUUUGAGAGGACGACCAGCCACACUGGGACUGAGACACGGCCCAUACUCCUACGGGAGGCAGCAGUGGGGAAUUUUGGACAAUGGGGGAAACCCUGAUCCAGCCAUUCCGCGUGUGUGAUGAAGGCCUUCGGUUUGUAAAGCACUUUUGGCAGGGAAGCGGUACCUGCAGAAUAAGCACCGGCGAACUACGUGCCAGCAGCCGCGGUAAUAC
rnacentral:rRNA from 1 species